CCCUAUCCGCGUGCCAACGUAGGAGCUUUGCUACCUUAGGGUCCGCGAAAUACCGUUGCAGACGAGGAGUGAUCGGAAAGUACCACACCACUUUUCGAGGAGCUUUCUUCCUCUUCUUGUAUCGACUGACGUCGCACACCGGACAUAUGGUAGACUCCGCGUGCUCGUCCUGAUAAAUGAUGCAAUUGUUCAUGCACACAUGGU
rnacentral:lncRNA from 1 species